UACGAAGGACCCGAGCGUUAUCCGGAUUUAUUGGGUUUAAAGGGUGCGUAGGCGGAUUUACAAGUCAGUGGUGAAAUCUCCCGGCUUAACCGGGAAACUGCAAUUGAAACUGUUUAUCUUGAGUACAUUUGAGGCGGGCGGAAUGUGUCAUGUAGAGGUGAAAUUCUUAGAUAUGACACAGAACACCAAUUGCGAAGGCAGCUCGCUAAACUGUAACUGACGCUGAGGCACGAAAGCGUGGGGAUCAAACAGG
rnacentral:rRNA from 1 species